CCUACGGGAGGCAGCAGUGAGGAAUAUUGGUCAAUGGACGAGAGUCUGAACCAGCCAAGUAGCGUGAAGGAUGACUGCCCUAUGGGUUGUAAACUUCUUUUAUAAAGGAAUAAAACGAGGCACGUGUGCCUUUUUGCAUGUACUUUAUGAAUAAGGAUCGGCUAACUCCGUGCCAGCAGCCGCGGUAAUACGGAGGAUCCGAGCGUUAUCCGGAUUGAUUGGGUUUAAGGGGAGCGUAGAUGGGUUGUUAAGUCAGUUGUGAAAGUGUGCGGCUCAACCGUAAAAUUGCAAUUGAUACUGGCAGUCUUGAGUACAGUUGAGGUAAGCGGAAUUCGUGGUGUAGCGGUGAAAUGCUUAGAUAUCACGAAGAACCCCGAUUGCGAAGGCAGCUUACUAAACUGUGACUGACAUUGAUGCUCGAAAGUGUGGGUAUCAAACAGGAUUAGAUACCCCAGUAGUC
rnacentral:rRNA from 1 species